rnacentral:rRNA from 1 species
GACGAACCUUGCUAACGUUAUUCGGAAUUACUGGGCUUAAAGGGUGCGUAGGCGGUGCAGCAAGUCGGGGGUGAAAGCCCUCAGCUCAACUUAGGAAUUGCGCCCGAAACUGCUGUGCUUGAGGAAUACAGAGGUGUGCGGAACUUAGGGUGGGGCGGUGAAAUGCGUUGAUAUCCUAAAGAACUCCAGUGGCGAAAGGGGCACACUGGGUAUUAUCUGACGCUCAUGCGCGAAAGCUGGGGUAGCGAACGGG